CCUGGCUCAGAUUGAACGCUGGCGGCAUGCCUUACACAUGCAAGUCGAACGGCAGCACGGAGCUUGCUCUGGUGGCGAGUGGCGAACGGGUGAGUAAUAUAUCGGAACGUACCCUAGAGUGGGGGAUAACGUAGCGAAAGUUACGCUAAUACCGCAUACGAUCUAAGGAUGAAAGUGGGGGAUCGCAAGACCUCAUGCUCGUGGAGCGGCCGAUAUCUGAUUAGCUAGUUGGUAGGGUAAAAGCCUACCAAGGCAUCGAUCAGUAGCUGGUCUGAGAGGACGACCAGCCACACUGGAACUGAGACACGGUCCAGACUCCUACGGGAGGCAGCAGUGGGGAAUUUUGGACAAUGGGCGAAAGCCUGAUCCAGCAAUGCCGCGUGAGUGAAGAAGGCCUUCGGGUUGUAAAGCUCUUUUGUCAGGGAAGAAACGGUGAGAGCUAAUAUCUUUGCUAAUGACGGUACCUGAAGAAUAAGCACCGGCUAACUACGUGCCAGCAGCCGCGGUAAUACGUAGGGUGCAAGCGUUAAUCGGAAUUACUGGGCGUAAAGCGUGCGCAGGCGGUUUUGUAAGUCUGAUGUGAAAUCCCCGGGCUCAACCUGGGAAUUGCAUUGGAGACUGCAAGGCUAGAAUCUGGCAGAGGGGGGUAGAAUUCCACGUGUAGCAGUGAAAUGCGUAGAUAUGUGGAGGAACACCGAUGGCGAAGGCAGCCCCCUGGGUCAAGAUUGACGCUCAUGCACGAAAGCGUGGGGAGCAAACAGGAUUAGAUACCCUGGUAGUCCACGCCCUAAACGAUGUCUACUAGUUGUCGGGUCUUAAUUGACUUGGUAACGCAGCUAACGCGUGAAGUAGACCGCCUGGGGAGUACGGUCGCAAGAUUAAAACUCAAAGGAAUUGACGGGGACCCGCACAAGCGGUGGAUGAUGUGGAUUAAUUCGAUGCAACGCGAAAAACCUUACCUACCCUUGACAUGGCUGGAAUCCUUGAGAGAUGAGGAGUGCUCGAAAGAGAACCAGUACACAGGUGCUGCAUGGCUGUCGUCAGCUCGUGUCGUGAGAUGUUGGGUUAAGUCCCGCAACGAGCGCAACCCUUGUCAUUAGUUGCUACGAAAGGGCACUCUAAUGAGACUGCCGGUGACAAACCGGAGGAAGGUGGGGAUGACGUCAAGUCCUCAUGGCCCUUAUGGGUAGGGCUUCACACGUCAUACAAUGGUACAUACAGAGCGCCGCCAACCCGCGAGGGGGAGCUAAUCGCAGAAAGUGUAUCGUAGUCCGGAUUGUAGUCUGCAACUCGACUGCAUGAAGUUGGAAUCGCUAGUAAUCGCGGAUCAG
rnacentral:rRNA from 1 species